UGAAAGGGGAUAUAUUUCCUCAGUGUUGGAAUGGUUGUUGACUAGACAAGUGCUCAUUUCUCACUGGUUUUACAGAGGCAGUUGGACAUCUCUUGGAUUUCUCCUCUCCUCAACUUUGCCAUCUAGAUUUAAUAGGGGUCAAGAGUGGAAUCAGACUUAGAAAUGAACACACAAAGGCUACAAAUUUAUUUUCUCUCUUCAUCUCAGCUCCUUCAAGAGCUCCUCUACCCUGAUGAAAAAUCCUUGUGGCCCAAGUAAAGUCAAGUUGUCAGGAUAUGGGUGGUGCUGAAGAAGCAGAAGUACAGAACCUGUAUGCAGGUGAUCAUGCCUCACAGUACAACCAGAAAAACAUCUCCCAGAGAAGACUGAGAGUAUACGGCACUUGAAGAGCACUCUCCAGUUUAUGACUGUAAGAUCAAACCAAGAUAAUAUGCUUUGUCAAAAGUGUGUGUGACAGCUGUGUGUGAGUUAUGUUUGAAAAUUCCAUUUUGGGUUAACCUUCAGGCAGGAAUCUCUUCUUCACUGAUCACCUUUAGUAUGAGAAAUUCUUAGGCCAGCAAGAUUUUCCCUUGCUCUUCUCACAGAACAUAGAG
rnacentral:lncRNA from 1 species